rnacentral:tRNA from 1 species
GGGCCUGUAGCUUAGUUGGUGGAGCGUCCGGCUCAUAACCGGACGGUCAUGCGUUCGAAUCGCAUCAGGCCCA